AGAGUUUGAUCAUGGCUCAGAAUGAACGUCGGCGGCGUGGAUUAGGCAUGCAAGUCGAGCGGUAGGGAGUUCCUCACUCUGUGCUUUCCUGCGAUCUGGUUAGAUCGCGGUUAUUACAAUAGCCGCGAUCCCAACGGGUCGCCGGCGAGAGCGCAGCGUGAGGGACUCCUGAGAGCGGCGAAAGGGAGAGUAACGCGUAGUUACGUACCCCGAGGACCGGAAUAGCCACGGGAAACUGUGGGUAAUGCCGGAUAAUAUCUUGGGCCGAAAGGCCCCGAAUCAAAGGUGUGAUUCCGCCUCGGGAGCGGACUGCGUCCUACUAGCUAGUUGGCGGGGUAAUGGCCCACCAAGGCGACAAUGGGUAGCGGGCGUGAGAGCGUGGCCCGUCUCACUGGGACUGAGACACUGCCCAGACACCUACGGGUGGCUGCAGUCGAGAAUCUUCGGUAAUGAGCGCAAGCUUGACCGAGCGACGCCGCGUGCGGGAUGAAGGCCUUCGGGUUGUAAACCGCGAAAGUGGGGAGGAAGUCGCUGGGGGUUCUCCCCCAGUGUGACCUAUCCACAG
rnacentral:rRNA from 1 species